rnacentral:rRNA from 1 species
AUAUCAGUAAGCGGAGGAAAAGAAACUAACAAGGAUUCCCGUAGUAAGGGCGACUGAACGGGGAAGAGUCCAGCGCUGAAUCCGAGCCUCCCGCAGGGGCAAGGAGCUGUAGCGUAUAGAGUGCGGUGUCGUCGCGGUCUCUGCCGCUCCAAGUCUCCCUUGAGUGGGGCCGAG